rnacentral:rRNA from 1 species
AGAGUUUGAUCCUGGCUCAGAUUGAACGCUGGCGGCAGGCCUAACACAUGCAAGUCGAGCGGCAGCGGGAAAGUAGCUUGCUACUUUUGCCGGCGAGCGGCGGACGGGUGAGUAAUGCCUGGGAAAUUGCCCAGUCGAGGGGGAUAACAGUUGGAAACGACUGCUAAUACCGCAUAUGCCCUACGGGGGAAAGCAGGGGACCUUCGGGCCUUGCGCGAUUGGAUAUGCCCAGGUGGGAUUAGCUUGUUGGUGAGGUAAUGGCUCACCAAGGCGACGAUCCCUAGCUGGUCUGAGAGGAUGAUCAGCCACACUGGAACUGAGACACGGUCCAG